rnacentral:misc_RNA from 1 species
GAUGAAGAACGUAGCGAAAUGCGAUAAGUAAUGUGAAUUGCAGAAUUCAGUGAAUCAUCGAAUCUUUGAACGCACAUUGCGCCCGCCAGUAUUCUGGCGGGCAUGCCUGUUCAAGCGUCAUUUCAACCAUCAAGCCCCAGGCUUGUGUUGGGGACCUGCGGCUGCCGCAGGCCCUGAAAACCAGUGGCGGGCUCGCUGUCACACCGGGCGUAGUAGAUUUUAUCUCGCUCAGGGCGUGCUGCGGGUUCCGGCCGUUAAAAAGCCUUUUUUACCCAAGGUUGACCUCGGAUCAGGUAGGAAGACCCGCUGAACUUAAGCAUAUCAAUAAGCGGAGGA